GUGAUCAAGUCAUUUUUAGAAAAAUACUGGUUUCGAAGUACUUGCCCAUAAUAAUGCAUAAAUGUGGGCAAGUACUUCGAAACCAGUAUUUUUCUAAAAAUGACUUGAUCACACUUAUCAAUCAUCUUAUGAUGAGAGCCACUUUGUUGGAAGUGGCUAUCCCCUUUCUGAGCAGUUGAAAAUUUCUAAGAUAGUAAAUUUUUUCCCUUUGUAGACUUGAUAUGUGCUCUGGAUACGUAAGGAGGUUGUGUCAAAUGAAACUUUGUUCGACUAAAAAGGUGAAACAAGAAAAAAAUAACUCGAAGCAAGUCGAGUCCCCUCUUUUUGUUCGAGAAUGUUUAGUUUCUUUCAUAAUUAGCACAUUUCACGAUUUUUGGGUCUUUCGUUUUGCCUCAGUGAUGUUGUAAGAUGUGACCAUUCUGCAUUUCCAUUAUAUUAUUUUGCAGCUUGAUCUUUCAUUAUGACUUCUUUUCCAUCUGACAUACAGGAGGACAGAAAAGGAAUGAAAAACUUCCUUACAUAAGUUUAGGAUAACUAGAAAAGAAAUCAAGCCUUUCUGUGUUCUUCUUUGUUUCUGAUCUUUUGUUUCUGUUUACUAUUGCUGUCGGCUUGAGAAAGUAAGGUUUAAACCUUAAGUAUUUUUGCAGGACUUGGUUCAAGAAAUAGUUCGCCUGUAAUAUUCCCUGGGGCUCCCGAGCCAGCAAUGAUGAACAAAGGCUUGAUUUCUGUCGAAUUUUACAGGAAUGGUUUGUCAAAUGAUGACAGAGUGCCAAAUUCGUAUUCUCCCGUUUCUGCAGGACAGCUCUCUGGUUUAGAAUUCAGAUCCCAGGAAUAGAGUUAGCUUCACAUUUUGUCAUCAUAGCAGUGAGAUGUAUAUAUAAAGAUUAAGGAACAUGGGAUUGAAGUAUUUAGAGUUCAUUUGUACAAUCAUUAAUUUAUUAAUUUUAUUUGCAGUCCUUCCCUUUACAAAAUUCA